AUUUCCUGACCACCAACAAGUAAAAACUACAGAUCUUCCACCACCAACAGGUAAAAACUACAAACCCCAACCACCAACAGGUAAAAACUACAAACCCCCACCACCAACAAGUAAAAACUACAGAACCCCCACCACCAACAAGUAAAAACUACAGAUCCCCCACCACCAACAGUUAAAAACUACAGAUCCCCCUCACCAAACAGGUAAAAACUACAGAUCCCCCACCACCAACAGGUAAAAACUACACCAACAGGUAAAAACUACAAGUCCCCCACCACCAACAGGUAAAAACUACAGAUGCCCUCACCACCAACAAGUAAAAACUACAGAUCCCCC